rnacentral:rRNA from 1 species
CAAUAGCGUAUAUUUAAGUUGUUGCAGUUAAAAAGCUCGUAGUUGGAUUUCGGGUGGGACGCAGCGGUCUCGCAUUGCGUUUGUACUGCUGCAGCCCUCCUUCUUGCCGGGGGCGGCCUCUCGGACUUCACUGUCUGGGGGUCAGAAUCGGCGAUGUUACUUUGAGUAAAUUAGAGUGUUCAAAGCAAGCUUACGCGCUGAAUAUAAUAGCAUGGGAUAACACGACAGGACUCUGGCCUAUCGUGUUGGUCUAUAGGACCAGAGUAAUGAUUAAGAGGGACAGUCGGGGGCAUUCGUAUUCCGUUGUCAGAGGUGAAAUUCUUGGAUUUACGGAAGACGAACAUCUGCGAAAGCAUUUGCCAAGGAUGUUUUCAUUG